UACAAAGACUUGUUUCGGUUAGCCUACAUGUUAGAAUCGAUCAGGGCAAGAAUCUGCACGCGGACGAACCCCUCGCUCCCGCAUUCGCAAUUGGUCUCCUGUCUUUUGCAGUUUAGCCAAGAGAUCGGCGAUCGUCUCUCCCACGUCGAUCACGACGACUUCAUCUCCAGAAGCCAUAAACUGUAGCCGCGACAGAUGAGGUUCGGCCGGGAGAACGCCUUCCGACGUGGCUAAUGAUCUGCCGAAUCAAGUCGCUUGGCCGCCGAGAACCGCUCAACCGCGUCUUCAGAGGAUUGUAGGGUGUUUUCCGUUUCGAUGAUGCACUUGAAGUGAACUACUGGUGCUUACUGCUCACAGGAAUACAUGGUGGUUCUACUUGAACUAUCUGUGAUAAUUUACCCAUUUGCGUCCUUAAUGUCAUUGAAGUUAAGUUUA